rnacentral:rRNA from 1 species
CCUACGGGAGGCAGCAGUGGGGGAUAUUGCACAAUGGGGGGAACCCUGAUGCAGCGACGCCGCGUGGGUGAAGGAGCGUUUCGGUGCGUAAAGCUCUAUCGGCAGGGAAGAAGAUGACGGUACCUGACUAAGAAGCCCCGGCUAACUACGUGCCAGCAGCCGCGGUAAUACGUAGGGGGCAAGCGUUAUCCGGAUUUACUGGGUGUAAAGGGGGCGCAGACGGCAAUGCAAGCCAGGAGUGAAAGCCCGGGGCCCAACCCCAGGACUGCUCUGGAAACUGGAUGGCUGGAGUGCAGGAGGGGCAAGCGGAAUUCCUAGUGUAGCGGUGAAAUGCGUAGAUAUUAGGAGGAACACCAGUGGCGAAGGCGGCCUGCUGGACUGUAACUGACGUUGAGGCCCGAAGGCGUGGGGAGCAAACAGGAUUAGAUACCCCAGUAGUC